CCUACGGGAGGCAGCAGUGAGGAAUAUUUGUCAAUGGACGAGAGUCUGAACCAGCCAAGUAGCGUGAAGGAUGACUGCCCUAUGGGUUUUAAACUUCUUUUAUAAAGGACUAAAACGAGGCACGUGUGCCUUUUUGCAUUUACUUUAUGAAUAAGGAUCGGCUAACUCCGUGCCAUCAGCCGCGGUAAUACGGAGGAUCCGAGCGUUAUCCGGAUUUAUUGGGUUUAAAGGGAGCGUAGAUGGGUUGUUAAGUCAGUUGUGAAAGUUUGCGGCUCAACCGUAAAAUUGCAAUUGAUACUGGCAGUCUUGAGUACAGUUGAGGUAGGAGGAAUUCGUGGUGUAGCGGUGAAAUGCUUAGAUAUCACGAAGAACCCCGAUUGCGAAGGCAGCGUACUAGACUGUGACUGACAUUGAUGCUCGAAAGUGUGGGUAUCAAACAGGAUUAGAUACCCUAGUAGUC
rnacentral:rRNA from 1 species